rnacentral:tRNA from 27 species
GGGCGGUUAACUCAGUGGUAGAGUGCCACCUUCACACGGUGGAAGUCACAAGUUCGAACCUUGUACCGCCCACCA